AUAAAUCUUACAUAAGCUGAACUUUCUAUUUCAUAAAUUCCAAUACAGUGGUAGUGGUGGUUGAUGAUGGAGCAAACGAUAUGGGGUCAUUUGCCGGUGCUGAUGAGGGCAAAUUCCAAAGAAUCUAUAGAAUACAUACUUCAAGCCCUUUGGAGAACUCGAAAGAGUGGUCUUGGCACUUCUGAUCGAUGCAUCAUCCAAGACAUGCUUCAACUACACAAUGAAUCUGAUCUCGACCCACUUCUGGUUUGCCUCCGAAUGUUAAUCAGGAGGUGUGUUUAUGAGAAUACUUCAAAGGAGGAUAUUCCAAAGCUGUUUCCGGACGAAGUGCUGCCUGAAUUGCAAAAACUGUUGACACUUCUGUUGCAGAAGUUUCAGCGAGUAUGGCAAGAAGAUGUGAUGAAAGAUCAAAAUAUUGUGCCUAGAUUAAAGGCGAUGACAUGGAAUAUGGCAAAUCUGGAGAAAGGAUCAGCAGACCCUGCAGCGGUUAUUGAUUUGAAGCUUCAAAAUGAUGCUCCAUUUCAGUCGGGAGUUCAAGAUGUAAAGUUCCAGUUGGCUACAGAUUCUAUAGAUAUGAUGCUGAAAACCAUGCACUGUAUUAGAGACCAGUUUUCUACCAUGCACAAGUUUAAAUUUAUGUUGCACGGAGUACAGUACUGGUAUCGGAUACGGGUACCAACUACAGCAUUUUAAAAAAAGAGGUUAAAUUGGCUCUAUGGUGGAGCUCAACUGAGAACAUGAGAUUUUGAAUACAUAAUGUUAAUGUAAUUUAGAUUCUCAAUUCUCAGAGACUGAGCCUUGGCGUAAUGCAGGAGGACAUAGAUGACAGACCCAGCAGGGGGAAUCAAGAUUCGGGCUUCAGCCUCAACUGGCGAAAUCAUUUACGUAGUUUAGUAUUCCCUAUAUAAGAAAGAAAUAUGGUUAACAGUCACGCUUUUUGGUUAAGAUAAUUCCAUUGCUAUUAGUUAAAUUUCUAGUUUACUGGAUUUAGCAAUUCCCUUUUCCUAGUGAGAAACUCCUUUGGUUGUGGAUGGGGCAACCUCGUACAUAACUUCCUGCCAGUCAUUUUUUUCUUUCUCGCUUUCCCUUUGCAUUCUCAAGUUGUAAACAUGAAGAUCUUUGGAUUCCCUUUAUGGAUUACUUUAUUGGACAUCA